GUCUGCAAUUUCCAAAAGGUUGGGCAAAACCCGAGAUUGGAUUGUUGCCCUCAAGUGUUUGAUGCUAAUUCACCGACUUCUCAAUGAUGGAGAUGCUGUAUUUCAGCAAGAAAUUAUGUAUGCUACCAGGAGGGGAACAAGGCUGCUAAAUUUAUCAGAUUUCAGAGAUGAAGCUCACGCCAGUUCAUGGGAUCAUUCUGCUUUUGUAAGGACUUAUGCUUGUAUU
rnacentral:misc_RNA from 1 species